CUGCCAUGAUGCAAAGAAGUCCAAGCUAUCUUGCUAAAAUUAGGAGCCACACAGAACGGCCCUGGAAGAUGAAAUACCACAUACAGAGAGAGGCCACGUGAAGGAGAACCAAAGCACCCAGCCAAGAGUCAGCACCAAAACACCAAUCCAGUGAGACAAGCCAUGUUGGAGCUUCCAGCCCAGCCCAGCCACCGUCUUUAAUCAGCUGCAUGAAUAACAGCCAUCACUAUAUGUAACAAGACCACCAAUCAACCCACUGAAUCAGCUUCUACUCUACUCUCAACAUAUCCCAAAAGCCACCAUCUCCUCUUGAGGCUACAAAAAAAAUCCCGAAUUACGAAACUCAGGAUUUCAGCACUAUACAUUCAGUAAAUACACCUAAAGAAGUAUUUUUUUAUUUAUUUUUAAGGCAGAGUAUCACUAUUGUCACCCAGGCUGGAGUGCAGUGGAGCGAACUCGCCUCACUGCAAUCUCUGUCUCCCAGGCUCAAGUGAUUCUCGUGCCUCAGCCUCCUGAGCAGCUGGACCACAAGCGCACACCCCCUCGCCUGGCAAAUUUUUGUAAUUUUUGAAGAAACGGGGUUUUGUCAUGUUGCCCAGGCUUGAUCUUCAACUCCUAAGCUCAAGUGAUCCACCCACCUCAGCCUCCCAAAGUGCUGGGAUUACAGGCGUGAACCACCGUGCCCAGCCAAGAAGUAUUUAUUAAGUACCAACAUUGUGCUACUCCAGCUCGGCUUUAGACCAGUACUUCCUGAACAGUCUGACAAAUGUUCAGAUAAACAAGGCUACUGGGGUUUUCGUUUUAACCCAAGAUGUCUCAGAGACUUUUAGGACACUCAUAUGUAUUGGGACUGUCCCAAAAUUAAGUAUACAAUAUAGCUUUUCCAAAAUUGAUUUGACAACCGAAUCCUCUUCCCUUCAGAAUACCUGAAAACAUUUCACUGAACACUUGAAUUUACUCAUGCAAUAAAUACUUUUUAAGCAUCAGCUUAACUCCCACUGUUGAAUGAGGGGGAUAAGGCAGUGAUUGAGACAGACGCAGGUUCUGACUAUGGGAAGUUUGCUCCCUGGAAUGGACUUUCUCCAUAAGAGCUUUCUUCACCUCAGAUAUAACAGGAUUUGAGAGGAAGGUGAUUACAGGACUAGGCACUGCUUUAAGGGCAGGUACAUGAAAUCAACCCCAAUCAGAAUUGACCUCUAACAGGAAAAGAUAGAAGAUCAAAAUAAUGACUAGUUGAAGUUUCAGCCCUACUAGGCCAGGAAAUAAAUAUAAUUCUGUAUUUAUUUUUCACACCUCGACAAAGAAGCCAGAUUGUUAAAAGGAAUACAAGUCAGCCAUUGACAGGCUGCAGUAAGAGGCUGUGGAAACACGUUGUUGCUUACAACACCAAGAUCACAAUGGGCAAGAGAUUAUGUUCAAUUCCACUGAACUUAUCAAAUCAAACAGGAAAUUCACAGACCAUCAAAAUGGUAAAAGGAAAUCUGAAAACAAAUAAUGUAAGGAUAUUCUUGAUCAGCACAGCACCAUGCCCAUUGACUUUGAAUAUCAAGCUGUACCCUAAGGAAUCACUGAGUCAAUGUGAAAGGAAAUAAGAUGGUCUUGGGGAUCUAAAGGAUGUGUUCUCACUGGGUGAAAGCUGCUCCUGGUGCUUGGACAUCGAGAUGAAGGCAAUCACUGGAAAAGCCGAAAGGAGGAUAAAUCCUGCUAGGAGGUGACAUAGUUGUACAAACAAUCCAAAUAGUGAAUGCCAGCGAGCAUCAAUGGGCGUGGGCUGGACCUCGUAUGAUCAGUACACAUGUGAGUGCCUGUCCUGGAGCACAGCCCUAGGAAGAAUCCAGCUGUAACUGACCCAAGCAUGCCUCCACACCAAAAGAAAGGCAACACAUGCACCCACCUCCUGCUAUCGUGAUUCCAUCUUAUAAUGGCUGUGUGACUUACAGAUUGCACCAACUGAUGACCCUGUCUUCACUUGAACCUUUUGCAAAACAGAUGAUUCAACCCUGUACCUUCCUUAAAGGCAAGAACUAUGUCUUCUUCAUCUUCAUAUCUCAGCACUAGUUUACACUUGCAAUUAAAAGGCAACUCAAUGUAGAGCAGUUUAAAGCAUGGGCUCUGAAGAGUCCAAAUUCCAGUUUCUCCACUUACUUAGGUUAAGAUCUUGCAAGCAGAUGCUCUAAGUGCCUAUCGAUGUCCCUCUGACCUGAACAUUUUAGAGUGCCCCAAAGGCACUGCCAAUAUCAGAAUCUCUGCCUGAGAGUAUCUUUUAAACCUGGAUAAGCUAGUCUUCCCUUGCAGGGUGUAGAAGUCCCAGGGUUAACCACCCUUAAAAAAAAAUCUGACAGCUAUUUAUACAACAGUGUUCACAACCGCAUUAUUCAUGAUAGCCAAAAGGUGAAAACAACCGAAAUGUCCACUGAUGUUGAAUGCAUAAAGAAAAUGAAGUAUACACAUAAAAUGGAAUAUUAUUCAUCCUUAAAAAAGAAAUGAGGAGGCCAAGGUGGGUGGAUUAUAUGAGGCCAGGAGUUCAAGACCAGCAUGGCCAACAUGGCAAAACCCCAUCUUUACUAAAAAAUACAAAAAUUAGCCGGGCAUGUUGGCAUGCACCUGUAGUCCUAGCUACUUGGGAGGCUGAGGCACGAGGAUCACGUGAACCCGGGAGGCAGAGGUUGAGAGGUUGCAGCGAGCCAAGACUCUGUCACUGCACUCCCACUUGGGCAACAGAGUGAGACUCUGUCUCAGAAAAAAAAAAAAAAAAAAAGGAAAUGAAAUUCUGAUACGUGCUACAACAUGAACUUUGAAAACAUUAUGCUAAGUGAAAUAAACCAGCCACAAAAGCUCAAAUAUUGUCUGAUAUCAUUUAUAUG
rnacentral:lncRNA from 1 species